GCACAGGACCCACCAGACCACUCCCCGGGAUCCAGGUUCUACAGCCCGGCGCGCUGGACUCCGCGCUCUCGCGCCCUGUUGUCCGGCCGAGCCCACUCCGGUCUGUCCAGGUCUGAGGGCGAAGCUACGUGCUAAGCACAAGAAAAACUCCCUUUCGAGCGAUGCCUCACAACUGGAUCAGAUUCCUGCAAAUGCAGGGGGAAAAAAGGAGGAAGAAAGGGCCGCCUGCCUGCAGCCCCUCGGACCAAGAGCACCGAACCGCAACCACGCGCCAGCCACGGACCCCCGGCCGCCCCGAGACGGGACCGGUAAUUCCACCGCCAGGCCGGGCCCCGCCCCGGGCCCGCGACCGUUCUGGGGCGUUCCUCCCGUGGGCGGCGCCUCCCUCACCGCCACUUGACUCUCUUCUUCCUGAGGGAGGCCGCGGCCGCCCCGCGACACCGAAGCCGCAGCUUCCAGGCCGCGCGGGCCCGCGACGUCCAGAGCGGCCUGCCAGGCCGGCUCCUUCCCCGCUGGCUCCCGCACGCCCUCUCUACCACCCCAAGCCCUUACCGAGGCAGCGCGGCCUCCGCGGCCCGCUCCUCCUAAUCCUUAGCCGCCGCCACCGACCCAGCGCCGCGGAGACCGGAACUUCCUCCGCGCCGGGCCGCUGCCUCCACAAAGGCAUCUUGUCUGGAAGUCAUUCAUUCAAGAACUUCAUGAAGCACCUGCUGUGUGCCAGGCACUGGAUCAAGUACUGGAGUUACAGGAGCUUGAACAAAGCUGAUAAACUUUGCUGCUCUGGUGGCGAUGGGAGUGGGGGUGGCUAUGGAAGAGAGGUGACAAACUAAACAAGAUACACAGUCUCUGCUCAAAGGAGUUUGGUUUCUGUAAGGAGGGAGAUGGAAAGCUGUUGGGAGGCUCUAAACAGAAUAACAUCGUGAUUUCCAG
ensembl:lncRNA